UGCCCGGCGCUGUCCUGCCCGGCUUGCUUCUCCUCGCAGCGGCGGCGCCGCGGCCGUAACUCCGAUAGAUCUCUUACCCCUCCCUUGGAUGUCAAUUAUUUCUGCAAGAAAUUUCCAAGAGAGUUGUGGCUUCCCCCCUGCUGUAUCCUGUUGGCCACACAGAUUUUGACCCUGUU